rnacentral:rRNA from 1 species
AGAACGAACGCUGGCGGCAUGCCUAACACAUGCAAGUCGAACGAGAUCUUCGGGUCUAGUGGCGCACGGGUGCGUAACGCGUGGGAAUCUGCCCUUUGGUUCGGAAUAACAGUUGGAAACGACUGCUAAUACCGGAUGAUGACGAAAGUCCAAAGAUUUAUCGCCAGAGGAUGAGCCCGCGUAGGAUUAGCUAGUUGGUGUGGUAAAGGCGCACCAAGGCGACGAUCCUUAGCUGGUCUGAGAGGAUGAUCAGCCACACUGGGACUGAGACACGGCCCAGACUCCUACGGGAGGCAGCAGUGGGGAAUAUCGGACAAUGGGCGAAAGCCUGAUCCAGCAAUGCCGCGUGAGUGAUGAAGGCCUUAGGGUUGUAAAGCUCUUUUACCCGGGAUGAUAAUGACAGUACCGGGAGAAUAAGCUCCGGCUAACUCCGUGCCAGCAGCCGC